rnacentral:lncRNA from 1 species
GAAGAGGGGUGACCUGCUGUACGCCCUGCAAGAAUGACCAGUAAUGAGAGGGCACGACCCAAGGCUCAGAGAGAGGCCUGUGGGUCCCUGUGUCCCUGUGCAUUUAUCUUCAGGAGUUCCAGGAUGGGAUCCCCACCUUACCAAAUGCACUGGGGCCAGAAUUCUGGGAGUCAGAGACCCGGGCCCGAGGAAGACCCGCAGCAGUCUCGGGCUUGGGGCGCUCACAGAUGUGGGGGUAUUAGCUCACGACACUUGAUGCCAAGGAAACUCGCAGGUACCCACUCCUCCAAGGACACACUUGGGGAGGAGGAGGACCCGCAGGGCGCAAGUGCACCUGCGGCCCCUGAGAGCCUGCCCUGGCUGGCCCCACCCCGCCCCCACUCCUCCCAGUGGUUUCUCAGGCUGUUUUUGGAAGUGGCGGCGCUUACUAGUGAGCCUCGCCCGCCCCUCCUUCAGCACCACAGACAGGACCGAGGCGCCCCGCCCG